UACGAAGGGGGCUAGCGUUGCUCGGAAUCACUGGGCGUAAAGCGCACGUAGGCGGCUUUUUAAGUCAGGGGCGAAAUCCUGGAGCUCAACUCCAGAACUGCCUUUGAUACUGAGAAGCUUGAGUCCGGGAGAGGUGAGUGGAACUGCGAGUGUAGAGGUGAAAUUCGUAGAUAUUCGCAAGAACACCAGUGGCGAAGGCGGCUCACUGGCCCGAUACUGACGCUGAGGUGCGAAAGCGUGGGGAGCAAACAGG
rnacentral:rRNA from 1 species